rnacentral:misc_RNA from 1 species
UAAAAGUAUCAAGCUUGGCUUGUCGUUGGGCCCCUUGUCACCUGGUGACAGGUCCAAAAGAUAAUGACCGGUGUCAUAAAGACUCUAUAUGAAACGAGCUUAUAACAGCACGCAUCUAGUAGUUAUAUGGCCCGGUUGUCACCCCUUUAUUUAUCAA